rnacentral:tRNA from 1 species
GCCAUGAUAGCUUAGACGGGAGAGCGCUACACUGAGGAUCUAAAGGUCGUCGAUUAGAUCCCGGCUCGUGGCA